rnacentral:rRNA from 1 species
AUUGAACGCUGGCGGAAUGCUUUACACAUGCAAGUCGAACGGUAGAGGGGGCAACCCCUCGAGAGUGGCGAACGGGUGAGUAAUAUAUCGGAACGUGCCCAGUCGUGGGGGAUAACGUAGCGAAAGUUACGCUAAUACCGCAUACGAUCUAAGGAUGAAAGCGGGGGAUCGCAAGACCUCGCGCGAUUGGAGCGGCCGAUAGCAGAUUAGGUAGUUGGUGGGGGAAAGGCUCACCAAGCCAACGAUCUGUAGCUGGUGUGAGAGGACGACCAGCCACAAUGGAACUGAGACACGGUCCAGACUCCUACGGGAGGCAGCAGUGGGGAAUUUUGGACAAUGGACGCAAGUCUGAUCCAGCCAUUCCGCGUGCAGGAUGAAGGCCCUCGGGUUGUAAACUGCUUUUGUACGGAACGAAAAGGUCUCUCUUAAUACGGGGGGCUCAUGACGGUACCGUAAGAAUAAGCACCGGCUAACUACGUGCCAGCAGCCGCAGUAA